UCAUGCCAAUGGCACUGCCCGGUAGCUAAAUGCGGAAGAGAUAAGUGCUGAAAGCAUCUAAGCACGAAACUUGCCCCGAGAUGAGUUCUCCCUGAGACCUUGAGUCUCCUGAAGGAACGUUGAAGACGACGACGUUGAUAGGUCGGGUGUGUAAGCGCAGCGAUGCGUUGAGCUAACCGAUACUAAUGAACCGUGAGGCUUAACCUU
rnacentral:rRNA from 1 species